AUUGAACGCUGGCGGCAUGCUUUACACAUGCAAGUCGAACGGUAACAGGCCUUCGGGUGCUGACGAGUGGCGAACGGGUGAGUAAUGCAUCGGAACGUGCCCAAUCGUGGGGGAUAACGUAGCGAAAGUUACGCUAAUACCGCAUAAGCCCUGAGGGGGAAAGUGGGGGACCGCAAGGCCUCACGCGAAUGGAGCGGCCGAUGUCAGAUUAGCUAGUUGGUGGGGUAAAGGCCCACCAAGGCGACGAUCUGUAGCGGGUCUGAGAGGACGAUCAGCCACACUGGGACUGAGACACGGCCCAGACUCCUACGGGAGGCAGCAGUGGGGAAUAUUGCGCAAUGGGCGAAAGCCUGACGCAGCCAUACCGCGUGUGUGAAGAAGGCCCUGGUUGUAAGUCGACUUACUAGUGGGAGGGAAAGGACGUAGGUGGCGUAAU
rnacentral:rRNA from 1 species